AUUGAACGCUGGCGGCAUGCUUUACACAUGCAAGUCGAACGGUAACAGGGUGCUUGCACCGCUGACGAGUGGCGAACGGGUGAGUAAUGCGUCGGAACGUGCCGAGUAGUGGGGGAUAACGCAGCGAAAGUUGUGCUAAUACCGCAUACGUACUGAGGUAGAAAGUGGGGGACCUUCGGGCCUCACGCUAUUCGAGCGGCCGACGUCUGAUUAGCUAGUAGGUGGGGUAAAGGCUUACCUAGGCGACGACCAGUAGCGGGUCUGAGAGGCUGAUCCGGCACACUGGGACUGAGCCACGGCCCAGACCCCUACUGGCAGCAGCAGUGGGGAAUUUUGGACAAUGGGCGAGAGCCUGAUCAAGCCAUGCCGCGUGUCUGAAGAAGGCCUUCGGGUUGUAAAGGACUUUUGUCAGGGAGGAAAUCCCUAGUGCUAAUAACACUGGGGGAUGACAGUACCUGAAGAAUAAGCACCGGCUAACUACGUGCCAGCCGCCGCGGUAA
rnacentral:rRNA from 1 species